rnacentral:rRNA from 1 species
CAGACAGGAUAGAUACCUGUAGUCCAUACGUAACGUGAUAGUAAAUGUAGAGGGUUUCGCCCUUAGCAUGAAGUCACGCAUAAGCACUCCGCUGGGGAGUCGCCGCAGGGCUGAAAUCAAAGGAUGGACGGGGGCCCAACAAGCGGUGGAGCAUGUGUUUAUUUGGAACCAACGCGAAGAACCUUACCAGUUCUUCCUUCUUUUGCCAACCCUAGAGAUAGGGUUUCUCCUUCGGGAGCAGAGUGACAGGUGGUGCAUGGUUGUUGUCAGUUCGUUUCGUGAGAUGUUGGGUUAAGUCCCGCAACGAGCGCAACCCUUGUUUUUAGUUGCCAUCAUUAAGUUGGCCAUUUUAAGGUGACUCCCGGUGACAACCCGGAGGAAGGUGGGGAUGACGUCAAAUCAUCAUGCCCCUUAUGACCUGGGUUACACACGUGUUACAAUGGACGGUACAAAGAACUGCAAGCCCGGGAGGUGGAAAUAAUCUCAAAAAACCUUUCUCAUUUGGGAUUGUAGGCUGCAAUUCCCCUACAAAAAGCUGAAAUCUUUAGUAAUUGCGGAUCAACAUUCCGCGGUAAAUACGUUCCCGGCCCUUGUCCACCCCGCCCGUCCCCCCACGAGAGUUUGUACCCCCCGAAGUCGGUGGGGUACCCUUAGGAGCCA